GCCGCCGUAGCUCAGUGGUAGAGCAUCGGACGCGCUAUUCGAAGGUCGCAGGUUCGGUCCCUGCCGACGACA
rnacentral:tRNA from 1 species